CGAACGCUGGCCUUUCGCGCUAACACAUGCAAGUCGAACGAGAGAUGAAGAGCUUGCUCUUCAAAUCGAGUGGCGAACGGGUGAGUAACGCGUGAGGAACCUGCCUCAAAGAGGGGGACAACAGUUGGAAACGACUGCUAAUACCGCAUAAGCCCACGGCUCGGCAUCGAGCAGAGGGAAAAGGAGUGAUCCGCUUUGAGAUGGCCUCGCGUCCGAUUAGCUGGUUGGUGAGGUAAUGGCCCACCAAGGCGACGAUCGGUAGCCGGACUGAGAGGUUGAACGGCCACAUUGGGACUGAGACACGGCCCAGACUCCUACGGGAGGCAGCAGUGGGGAAUAUUGCACAAUGGGGGAAACCCUGAUGCAGCGACGCCGCGUGGAGGAAGAAGGUCUUCGGAUUGUAAACUCCUGUUGUUGAGGAAGAUAAUGACGGUACUCAACAAGGAAGUGACGGCUAACUACGUGCCAGCAGCCGCGGUAAAACGUAGGUCACAAGCGUUGUCCGGAAUUACUGGGUGUAAAGGGAGCGCAGGCGGGAGGACAAGUUGGAAGUGAAAUCCAUGGGCUCAACCCAUGAACUGCUUUCAAAACUGUUUUUCUUGAGUAGUGCAGAGGUAGGCGGAAUUCCCGGUGUAGCGGUGGAAUGCGUAGAUAUCGGGAGGAACACCAGUGGCGAAGGCGGCCUACUGGGCACCAACUGACGCUGAGGCUCGAAAGUGUGGGUAGCAAACAGGAUUAGAUACCCUGGUAGUCCAC
rnacentral:rRNA from 1 species